rfam:Firmicutes bacterium CAG:102 genomic scaffold, scf78
GCUGCUAUGGCUCAGUAGGUAGAGCGUCGCCUUGGUAAGGCGGAGGUCACGGGUUCGAAUCCCGUUAGCAGCU